rnacentral:rRNA from 1 species
UACGUAGGUGGCAAGCGUUGUCCGGAAUUACUGGGUGUAAAGGGAGCGCAGGCGGGAAGCCAAGUCAGCUGUGAAAACUACGGGCUUAACUUGUAGACUGCAGUUGAAACUGGUUUUCUUGAGUGAAGUAGAGGUUGGCGGAAUUCCGAGUGUAGCGGUGGAAUGCGUAGAUAUUCGGAGGAACACCGGUGGCGAAGGCGGCCAACUGGGCUUUAACUGACGCUGAGGCUCGAAGGUGUGGGGAGCAAACAGG